UACGUAGGGUGCGAGCGUUGUCCGGAAUUAUUGGGCGUAAAGAGCUCGUAGGCGGUCUGUCGCGUCGGAUGUGAAAACACGGGGCUCAACCCCCGUGCCUGCAUUCGAUACGGGCAGACUAGAGUUCGGUAGGGGAGACUGGAAUUCCUGGUGUAGCGGUGAAAUGCGCAGAUAUCAGGAGGAACACCGGUGGCGAAGGCGGGUCUCUGGGCCGAUACUGACGCUGAGGAGCGAAAGCGUGGGGAGCGAACAGG
rnacentral:rRNA from 1 species